rnacentral:lncRNA from 1 species
GGUAAUUGAAUCGAAUAAUGCUGAAUUCUUUGAAAACAUUUACCCGUAUAAAAUUAGACAUGAACAGUCUAGUAGAAGAUCUAAACGACCUCAAGAUGAACCAAGUGAGAAUGUACAUAACGAAGAAAAUCCAAUACGUAGUACACGUCAAAGAACGUCAACUUUGUUUGGAUCGGAUUUUGUAACAUUUCUUUUAGAAAAUGAG